rnacentral:piRNA from 8 species
GGAUAGCUCAGUCGGUAGAGCAUCAGAC